rnacentral:tRNA from 1 species
GCCCGCCUAGCUCAAUCGGAUAGAGCGUCAGACUCUUAUGUUAGGCGGUCGAUUCCCCUCGUCGCCGGCCGGGAAUCUGAAGGCUGCGAGUUCGACCCUCGCGGUGGGCU